rnacentral:rRNA from 1 species
AUUGAACGCUGGCGGCAGGCCUAACACAUGCAAGUCGAGCGAGCGGCGGACGGGUGAGUAAUGUCUGGGAAACUGCCUGAUGGAGGGGGAUAACUACUGGAAACGGUAGCUAAUACCGCAUACCAUCAGAUGUGCCCAGAUGGGAUUAGCUAGUAGGUGGGGUAAAGGCUCACCUAGGCGACGAUCCCUAGCUGGUCUGAGAGGAUGACCAGCCACACUGGAACUGAGACACGGUGCAGACUCCUACGGGAUGCAUGAGUGGGGAAGAUUGCACAAUGGGCGCAAGCCUGAUGCAGCCAUGCCGCGUGUGUGAAGAAGGCCUUCGGGUUGUAAAGCACUUUCAGCGAGGAGGCGUUACCCGCAGAAGAAGCACCGGCUAACUCCGUGCCAGCCGCCGGGGUAAUUC